GAUGAAGAACGUAGCGAAAUGCGAUAAGUAAUGUGAAUUGCAGAAUUCAGUGAAUCAUCGAGUCUUUGAACGCACAUUGCGCCCCUGGUAUUCCGGGGGGCAUGCCUGUCCGAGCGUCAUUGCCGCCCUCAAGCACGGCUUGUGUGUUGGGCCCCCGCCCCCCGGCUUCGGGGGGCGGGCCCGAAAGGCAGCGGCGGCACCGCGUCCGGUCCUCGAGCGUAUGGGGCUUCGUCACCCGCUCUGUAGGCCCGGCCGGCGCCCGCCGGCGACCCCAAUCAAUCUUUCCAGGUUGACCUCGGAUCAGGUAGGGAUACCCGCUGAACUUAAGCAUAUCAAUAAGCGGAGGA
rnacentral:misc_RNA from 1 species